ensembl:miRNA
GCCUAAAAUCGUAAAUGUUGCUGGACAUAGUGACUCUGGCUUGUGAGCCCAGCACUGCGGAGGCUGAGGCAGGAGGAU